ACUGUGUCUCGGGCCGGGUCGCCUUGUCUGUUAUGUGAGCAUUAACUGUGGUACUCAAACAGGCUGUAAACUCACACACGUACACAUACACUCGCGGCAUGGUAUUGAGGCCAGGAGUUUUACAAGUGGGUCUUCUGUUUCUUCUCUUGCCCAGAGACCUGCCUGUAUCCAGUUCCCCUGUAAACGACCCGGAUGUUCGCCUGUCCUUCUGUCCAGUGUGUGGACUAGCCCCCCUGAACACACGCAGAAUGGGCGGGCAGGAUGCUCCGGCAGGUGCGUGGCCAUGGCAGGUCAGCCUACAUCACACUGCAUUCCGUGGUCACUUCUGUGGAGGAUCCCUCAUCAACAACCAAUGGGUGCUGACCGCCGCCCACUGCUU